rnacentral:pre_miRNA from 1 species
CCCAAAAUAAGUUUUGCACUAUUCAUUUCCAACGUUUGACCGUUCGUCUUAUUUGAAAAUUUUUUAUGAUUAUUAUUUUUAUUGUUAUUAGAUGAUAAAACAUGAAUAAUACUUUAUGUGUGACUAAUUUUUUUAAAAAAAAAUUUAUAAAUUUUUCAAAUAAGAUGGACGGUCAAACAUUGGACACGGAUUUUCACAGCUGUAUUUAUU